AGAACGAACGCUGGCGGCAUGCCUAAUACAUGCAAGUCGAACGAACUCUUCGGAGUUAGUGGCGCACGGGUGCGUAACGCGUGGGAAUCUGCCCUUGGGUUCGGAAUAACAGUUGGAAACGACUGCUAAUACCGGAUGAUGACGAAAGUCCAAAGAUUUAUCGCCCAGGGAUGAGCCCGCGUAGGAUUAGCUAGUUGGUGAGGUAAGGCUCACAAGGCGACGAUCCUUAGCUGGUCUGAGAGGAUGAUCAGCCACACUGGACUGAGACACGGCCCAGACUCGUACGGGAGCAGCAGUAGGAAUAUGGACAAGUGGGACGAAAGCCUGAUCCAGCAAUGCCGCGUGAGUGAUGAAGGCCGUUAGGGUUAGUAAAGGCUUACUUUACCCGAGAUAGAAUAAUGAACGAGUAGUACGGAAGAACUAACGCCCCGGACUAACCGUCCGU
rnacentral:rRNA from 1 species